UCGCUGUGAUGACUUCUUAGGACACCUUUGGAUUUAAACAUGAAAAUAACUCAACGAAAAAACUGAGCAAC
rnacentral:snoRNA from 1 species